rnacentral:rRNA from 1 species
GUUGUAUGGUUAAGUGACUAAGCGUACACGGUGGAUGCCUUGGCAGUCAGAGGCGAUGAAAGACGUAGUAACUUGCGAUAAGCCCAGAUUAGGUAGUAACAACCAUUUGAGUCUGGGAUUUCUGAAUGGGGAAACCCACGUGCAUAAGCACGUAUCCUUACCUGAAUACAUAGGGUAAGGAGGCGAACCGGGGGAACUGAAACAUCUAAGUACCCCGAGGAAAAGAAAUCAACCGAGAUUCCGAAAGUAGCGGCGAGCGAAAUUGGACUAGCCCUUAAGCUUUACACGCGUUAGACGAACAAGCUGGAAAGCUUGGCGAUACAGGGUGAUAGUCCCGUAGUUGACGACGUGUGUUCAGUGAAAUCGAGUAGGGCGGGACACGUGAUAUCCUGUCUGAAUAUGGGGGGACCAUCCUCCAAGGCUAAAUACUACUGACUGACCGAUAGUGAACCAGUACCGUGAGGGAAAGGCGAAAAGAACCCCUGUGAGGGGAGUGAAAUAGAACCUGAAACCGUGUACGUACAAGCAGUAGGAGCAGGCUUUGUCCUGUGACUGCGUACCUUUUGUAUAAUGGGUCAGCGACUUAUAUUCAGUGGCAAGGUUAACCAUCUAGGGGAGCCGUAGGGAAACCGAGUCUUAACUGGGCGUUCAGUCUCUGGAUAUAGACCCGAAACCAGGUGAUCUAGCCAUGGGCAGGUUGAAGGUUGAGUAACAUCAACUGGAGGACCGAACCGACUAAUGUUGAAAAAUUAGCGGAUGACUUGUGGCUAGGGGUGAAAGGCCAAUCAAACCUGGAGAUAGCUGGUUCUCCCCGAAAGCUAUUUAGGUAGCGCCUCGGACGAAUACUACUGGGGGUAGAGCACUGUUAAGGCUAGGGGGUCAUCCCGACUUACCAACCCUUUGCAAACUCCGAAUACCAGUAAGUACUAUCCGGGAGACACACGGCGGGUGCUAACGUCCGUCGUGGAGAGGGAAACAACCCAGACCGCCAGCUAAGGUCCCAAAUUACUACUAAGUGGGAAACGAUGUGGGAAGGCUCAGACAGCCAGGAUGUUGGCUUAGAAGCAGCCAUCAUUUAAAGAAAGCGUAAUAGCUCACUGGUCGAGUCGGCCUGCGCGGAAGAUGUAACGGGGCUAAGUAGUAAACCGAAGCUGCGGCAAUAUACUUUUGUAUAUUGGGUAGGGGAGCGUUCUGUAAGCGGUUGAAGGUGUGUGGUAACGCAUGCUGGACGUAUCAGAAGUGCGAAUGCUGACAUGAGUAACGAUAAAGGGGGUGAAAAACCUCCUCGCCGGAAGACCAAGGGUUCCUGUCCAACGUUAAUCGGGGCAGGGUAAGUCGACCCCUAAGGCGAGGCCGAAAGGCGUAGUCGAUGGGAAACGGGUUAAUAUUCCCGUACUUCUUACAAUUGCGAUGGGGGACGGAGAAGGCUAGGUGGGCCUGGCGACGGUUGUCCAGGUUCAAGUGCGUAGGCUGAGAGAUUAGGUAAAUCCGGUUUCUCUUAAGGCUGAGACACGACGUCGAGCACCUACGGGUGUGAAGUCAUUGAUGCCAUGCUUCCAGGAAAAGCCUCUAAGCUUCAGAUUGUAAGGAAUCGUACCCCAAACCGACACAGGUGGUCGGGUAGAGAAUACCAAGGCGCUUGAGAGAACUCGGGUGAAGGAACUAGGCAAAAUGGUACCGUAACUUCGGGAGAAGGUACGCUCUCGACGGUGAAGUCCCUUGCGGAUGGAGCUAUUGAGAGUCGCAGAUACCAGGUGGCUGCAACUGUUUAUUAAAAACACAGCACUGUGCAAAAUCGUAAGAUGACGUAUACGGUGUGACGCCUGCCCGGUGCCGGAAGGUUAAUUGAUGGGGUUAGACUUCGGUCGAAGCUCUUGAUCGAAGCCCCGGUAAACGGCGGCCGUAACUAUAACGGUCCUAAGGUAGCGAAAUUCCUUGUCGGGUAAGUUCCGACCUGCACGAAUGGCGUAAUGAUGGCCACGCUGUCUCCACCCGAGACUCAGUGAAAUUGAAAUCGCUGUGAAGAUGCAGUGUACCCGCGGCUAGACGGAAAGACCCCGUGAACCUUUACUACAGCUUGGCACUGAACAUUGACCCUACAUGUGUAGGAUAGGUGGGAGGCUUUGAAGCACGUACGCCAGUAUGUGUGGAGCCGUCCUUGAAAUACCACCCUUGUAGUGUUGAUGUUCUAACGUCGACCCCUUAUCGGGGUUGCGGACAGUGCCUGGUGGGUAGUUUGACUGGGGCGGUCUCCUCCCAAAGAGUAACGGAGGAGCACGAAGGUGGGCUAAUCACGGUUGGACAUCGUGAGGUUAGUGCAAUGGCAUAAGCCCGCUUGACUGCGAGAAUGACAAUUCGAGCAGGUGCGAAAGCAGGUCAUAGUGAUCCGGUGGUUCUGAAUGGAAGGGCCAUCGCUCAACGGAUAAAAGGUACUCCGGGGAUAACAGGCUGAUACCGCCCAAGAGUUCAUAUCGACGGCGGUGUUUGGCACCUCGAUGUCGGCUCAUCACAUCCUGGGGCUGAAGUCGGUCCCAAGGGUAUGGCUGUUCGCCAUUUAAAGUGGUACGCGAGCUGGGUUUAGAACGUCGUGAGACAGUUCGGUCCCUAUCUGCCGUGGGCGUUGGAAGAUUGAAGGGGGCUGCUCCUAGUACGAGAGGACCGGAGUGGACGAACCUCUGGUGUUCGGGUUGUGUCGCCAGACGCAUUGCCCGGUAGCUAAGUUCGGAAUCGAUAACCGCUGAAAGCAUCUAAGCGGGAAGCGAGCCCUGAGAUGAGUCUUCCCUGAUACUUUAAGUAUCCUAAAGGGUUGUCGGAGACUACGACGUUGAUAGGUCAGGUGUGUAAGUGCUGUGAGGCAUUGAGCUAACUGAUACUAAUUGCCCGUGAGGCUUAACCAUACAACACCCAAGGGGUUU